GCUCGACCUCAAAUCAGGUAGGACUACCCGCUG
rnacentral:rRNA from 1 species